rnacentral:rRNA from 1 species
CAGCCGCCGCGGUAAUACGAGGGGUGCAAGCGUUAUUCGGAUUGAUUGGGUGUAAAGGGUGUGCAGACGGCUUAUUAAGUCACUUGUUAAAUUCUUCGGCCUAACUGAAGGUCUGCAAGUGAUACUGAUGAGCUAGAGGGUGGAAGAGAGAAGUGGAAUUCUCGGAGUAGCGGUAAAAUGCGUAGAUCUCGAGAGGAACACCAAUGGCGAAGGCAGCUUCUUGGUCCAUUCCUGACGUCCAUACACGAAAGCGUGGGGAGCAAACAGGAUUAGAUACCCGCGUAGUCCCUGUCUCUUAUAC